UUCGCAAUGCCCGAAAGGGUGACGAAGCGACGCCGCGUGUGGGAAGAAGGCCUUCGGGUUGUAAACCACUGUCGGGAGUUAAGAAAUGCAAGGAUAUGAAUAGUGUCUUUGCUUGACUAAGGCUCCGGAGGAAGCCACGGCUAACUCUGUGCCAGCAGCCGCGGUAAUACAGAGGCGGCAAGCGUUGUUCGGAAUUAUUGGGCGUAAAGAGCACGUAGGCGGCUAUGUAAGUCGGUUGUGAAAGCUUUCCGCUCAACGGGAGAACAGCAUCCGAUACUACAUGGCUUGAGUGCGGGAGGGGAGAGUGGAACUUCUGGUGGAGCGGUGAAAUGCGUAGAUAUCAGAAGGAACGCCGGCGGCGAAAGCGGCUCUCUGGCCCAUAACUGACGCUGAGUGUGCGAAAGCUAGGGGAGCAAACGGGAUUAGAUACCCCGGUAGUCCUAGCCGUAAACGAUGGGCACUAAGUAGAGGGGUUUU
rnacentral:rRNA from 1 species